UUCCUUAUAUUCUUUCUUCUUCUUAUCCUCUCUUCCGACGAGAUACAGAGAGACUGAAGAGAGUGAAAUCGAGAGAGAUGAGAUACUAAGAGAGAGAGAACAGAGAGAGUUAGAGAGAUAGAGGGAGUGAGAGCCAGAGAUUGAGGGAGAGACUUGAGGGAUAGAGAGAGAGAUGUCGAGAGAGAGAGACUCGGGAGAUAGAGAGAGAUCGGAGAGAGAGGGCAGAGAUACCGAGAGAUCGGGAGAGAGGGAGCCGAACCCAGGGAGCUCCGACCUUCCAUGAUCGGCGGUGCGGCUGGGACUGGAAUCCGGUGAGGGAAGAGCUCCGAUCGUGAAGCCGUGGUGUCCGUGCGACCCGCAACCCGCCGGACCCGAGAGCCCUAAUGCCCGAUCCUCUCUGUCCGGCGGCCUGAGACGCGAUUUCCGGCGUUUGGGGGCUGCUUUCCGGUGGUUUUUCGUCGGUAGUGGACUGCCUGCAACCCGGACGACCCAUGACCGUGCAACCCGCGACCCGCGAGCCAAACCCGACGGAUCCGGGAGAACCCGUGCGACCCGAACCUCCCGGAGGUUCGGUCCUCCAUGACCGGCGGCCAGACGCCGAUUUCCGGCAAGUUAAGGCAACUUUCCGGCCGAUUCACGAAGCCCGAAGCCCCUGACCCGAAAACCCGACCCGGUGACCGACGACCCGAGAGGAAGACCCGGUUCUUCCUGUGCGUUUUCUGGUGGCUUUUCCGGUGGAUUUUUUGAUUAAGUCCUCAAGGUAAAAGGUCGAUCUUGACGCUAAUGGAAAGUCCUGAUGACAACCGUAAGAAGAAGUCUUUUUCUUGUAAGGGCAUAGACCUCGCUGAGAGCGAUAGUUCGUGAUGAACCAGCCAAACCCUAAUAUUGUAUAGUAUGAUUUGUUCCUUUUGGAGUUCAUGAUUUUGUAUAGAUUAUUAAUAGAAAGGUUUAAUUAAAAUUUGAGUUUUAAAUUUAUUUGUUGUAAUUGCACGCUUCUAUUUUAUGAUUUUAGUACUCAAACUCACGUUUUCCUUAUUUCCCAAAACGGGGGCGUGACAGUGGGUCUUUUUCCAGUAAACAUUUCUAAUAGAAAGAUCCCAUAGCUA